CAUGUGCCUGUAGUCCCAGCUACUUAGGAUCACUUGAGCCCAGGAGUUUGAGGCUGUGUUGAACCAUGAUUUUCUCACUGCUCUCCAGACUGGGGAUGGCGGAGCGAGACCUUGACACCACACACACACACACUCAUGCACAUGCUGUAGGCAGGGAGGAGGUGUUAGUGAGAGCCAGAACUCUGCAUUUAAUAUGUACCCAAAGCCAUAUAUUUUUUAAACAUGGGGUAGAGAACAACUGCUUUUUAAAGUGGUAUAAACUCAGACAAAUUUCUAGAACAAAUAGCGUAAUUGAAUUCAGUGGUUCUUUGCCUUACAUAGCUACAUCCUAACAACAUUGUCAAAAACCUGGGUCCCAUCCUGACAGAAACAAAAAACCCAUUUAUGUUGAUAGUGACAGAUGAUAGUGUACAGAUAUGCUUAUAGUUUGAUUAGCUCAAAAGAAAACAAUAUUGUGGAAUGGAAAUUUUUCAUAUGAAGUUUUUAAUGAUUAGGUACAUUUUAAAGGUAAAUCCUUUUAGAUAAGAUAAUGGAUUUUGAAAUAAAUACAUUCGUUGCUUUUUUCUCUUUAGUUUAGAAACUAAGUAUUUCUUCAUACUCCUGAGUUUCAGAUUUUCUUUGUUGCACAUUCUAAUUUGAGUUAGCCAUUUUUGGCUUUGGCUCUAUAUUUCCUUAGAAUUAUCAAUAUCCAAUUUAAUUCCCACCUCCAAACUUUAGAAAGUGAAAGAAAAGACUAAAAUAAGAUCUACUUCAUUUUCUAUAUAUUCAGAUUUAAUGGAGCAAGACAUUACAGUGUUACAGUGCAUCACAGUCCAGCAUAUAUAAAUGAUAUCUUCCAGUGGGCUUUUUGUAAGGUCAUGGUUUAACAUGUGAUCUAUCAUGGAGAAUUUUCUGUAUGUGCUUGAGAAGAAUGUAUAUUCUGCUGUUGAAAUAUGUUCUGUAUAUGUCUGUUAGGUCCAUUUCGUCUGUACUGGUGUUGAAGUCCACUCUUUCUUUGUUGAUUUUCUGUCUGGUUAUUCUAUCCAUUACUAAAAGUGGAGUAUUGCAGUUUCCUGCUAUUACUGCGUUGCUAUUUCUCAUUUUAGUUCUGCCAAUAUUUGUUUUAUAUAUUUAGGUGCUCUGAUGUUGGAUGCAUAGAUAUCUAUAAUUGUUAUAGUUUGCUGGUGGGUUGACCCUUUCAUCAUUACAUUUUCUUCUUUGUCUCUUGUGACGGUUUUCUACUUACAGUCCAUUUUGUCGGGUAUAAAAUAACCCACUCUGCUUUCUUUUGGCUAUCAUAUGCAUGGAAUAUCUUUUUUCAUUUCUUUACUUUUACCCCGUGUGUGUCCUUAAAUGUUAAGUAAGUCACUUGUAGAAAUCAUAUAUAUUGUUUUUUUUCUUUCAGCUACCCUAUGUCUUUUGAUCCAUGAGUUUAAUUCAUUUACAUUUAAACAUUUAAAGUGAUUAUUGGUAGGGAAGAAUUUACUAUUGCCAUUUAGCUUAUUGUUUCUAGCUGUCUUGUGGUAAGUUCUUCGGUGCUUUUCUUCCUGUCUUGUCUUUUUUUUUUUUAAUUGGGACAGAGUCUCACUCUUGUCGCCCAGG